CUUUGGUUGAUGAUGAUGACGACAUGACUUGCUCAUAUUCAAUCUGCGAGCUUCCUACCUCUUCCAUACCAUAAACUUCAAGUAUGCUCGAGGUCGAUGUUUCUUGGUUAUCCUUAGUUCCUAUAAAGUAUUCAGAAUAUUCGCGGUCUGUAUGCACAUCCUACAACAAUGAUCGCCUCCCUCCUAUAAGCCAACAACUCAUCCUGAUAUCUAGAUCUAGCUCUAUGGUCCUUGUCCUACCAACAACUCCUCAUCAUAACAUGACUUGCUCAAAUUCUAAUUUGCUUCUCUGAGCUUCCUGUCCCUUCCAUAACAUAAACUUCAAGUAUGCUCGAUGUUGAUGUUCCUUGGUUAUCCUGAGUUCCUGAAAAUGUUCCAGAAUAUCUAUGGUCUGUGUGCACGUCCCAUAACAAUUAUAGCAUCCUUCCUAUAAGCCAGCAACUCCUCAUCCUAAUAUCUAGAUCUAGAUCUACCUUGACCAUCAUUGUCAUCAGAUCCAUCAUUACUCAUACUAUCACUAUUGUCAAUGCUAUUAUUGGGAGGUGAUAUAGGUAAUCCAAGUUUUGAGGGUCGGGCAUCUCACUACCAUCAUCCCGAACUAUAAAUCAUCAAUUGCCACUAAUGGCUCGAUUAUCAUCUUCUUUGAUUUGGACUUUUGAUGCUUCUCAACCACACCUCCUUGACACCCUUUCAAGCCUUGAUUGGCCUUUAUCUAUUGGCAUGCCCAACCUCUACUACUGCUCUUAAUGCCCUUGCUAUCUCUAAAGGACCGUGUAUGAUGUCUCUACGAUCAUAUCAUUGAUCAAAAUCCUCAAAUCGACUAUUACCUGAUUCACCAUCACCUCCUCCAACAUCUUGUAUUCUACUAUGAAUAAGGGAUAAGUGAGAAAUCAUCCAUUGGUCCACAUCUCGUAUCCUUGCCUGUUGGGCUAUUAUUCUGCAUAGUCGAGAAGAUCUCCUAACCUACUUAACACCAGUGGAUUCUGUGCCUCUUGAUCUGCAACCCAUCCUUGCAUAGGGUCUACUGAUCCUAGCCUACUGCUUGAUUCAUCAUCACCUCCUCCAACAUCUUGCAUUCUACCAUGAAUAGGGGAUAAGUGAGAAAUCAUCCAUCGGUCCACAUUUUGUAUCCUUGCCUCUUGUGCUAUUAUUUUACAUAGUCGAGAAGAUCUCUUGGCCUACUCAACACCAGUGGAUCCUGUGCUUCUUGAUCUACAACCCAUCUUUACAUAGGGUCAAUUGGUCAUGGACAAAAUAUUUUUUGAAUGGGGCAUCUUGCUUAGGCUCUUUACCCUCAUUCACACACUUCAGCCACAUAUUG
rnacentral:lncRNA from 1 species